GACUCUGUAGUUCAGCAGGUAGAACGGUUGACUGUUAAUCAAUAUGUCGGGGGUUCGAGUCCCUCCAGAGUCG
rnacentral:tRNA from 1 species